UGCUAGUUGUUCGGUCCCUCAGCUCCGCCGCAGAGCCGGGCAGCCACGGUGACGACGCUCCCUGGCUUCGCAGCGGACCUCGGGAGGCGACCUUAAGACCCGGGCCUCUGCCCCUCGCGAAGGCCUGGGGAUCUUUAGACGACAGAAUACUGGCUGUGGCUGAGGUGUGGGGUGACGCAGGUUGCCGACCCUUCCAGCUCCUUGAAUCCCCUUGGGGGCUUGGCUCCCGCUGUUUAGUUCCUGAGCAUGGAUUCGAAUCCCAGUCCCGCCACUCGCAUGGAUCAGCUUCCUCCCCUGUGCCGCACGAUGCACACCGUAUGGACAGGGAAGUGAGGUCACGUAGGCUGGCUCCGCUCAGUCUUGGUACACGGGGCUGAGCUGCAGGAAGACAGGGACAAUGCCUGUCCUGUCCACUGAAAGUCUAGCACACCGGGUUUCCAGGAGCCUGACCAUCUUUUCCCCAGAGUUGCAGCAUGGAGAUAGAAAGUUGCCUAGAGGUGCUUAGAAACAGUGAAGUCCAGCGUGGGGGCACUGCAGUGCUGACACUGUCUCCUGGCCCGCCUAUCCGAGCAUGAGCAUGUAAGGUUACCACCGAGCGAAAUGGUGGCUGAGGAGCAGAAGUCCUCUGAAUGCAGGCAUCCCAGGUCCAGGUCCCACCAGAGCCUUCUGGGUCCCCGCCAGAGAGCCCUGACAAGGACUCUUGGUGAGGACCUUGAGACCAAGCCACAAAAAAUCCCCCCAGCCCUGCAGCCUCCACCAGAGCCUCUGCUUUGCAGACACAGCUAGGCCUGGGGCACCCUCAGCCAGCCCCAGGAGCGGGCUGGACAGUGGCUGAGACUGGAGAGACACAGGGGCAGAUCACGGAAGGCCGGCACAGGAGCAAUUCCGGGCUGUCUGGCAGGGCAGCCAGAGCUCCAGGGCCAAGGGGUCAGCCCAGAGUCAGAACUGCCUGCAAGCUCUUGCUGCUUCCUGCUCUGCCCACAUGGAAGUAAACCAGAGCUUCACCCUGUGAAGAUCCAGUUGCACCCUGGGAAAUCUGAACCUCCAACUUCUUUGAGCUUUUCUUUGGUUGAAAUAAGAAUCCAUCAAAGCCCACGGCUGGACCUCUUUUUGGCUGAAGCAGCUUUAUUUCCCGGGGCUGUGAACUCCCGAAGGACCCUCUUCGUCAUCUUGUUCGUAGGACAACUGGCCUGCUGCAUGGGGCUCUCAAAAGAGCUUCUUUUCUUCCUCUAGAGGCCUCCUUUCUGGCAUGUUGUAAGAUGCUUUAACACAGUUUUUAUGUAUCCCAGGUGGCGAUCUGCUUGAACUUUCAGAACGUGUGUGACUCUUGCUUUGGAGGCAUGAACGGAAGCUUCUGUAACCCCACCAGUAUCGCAUUAGGGAUGCCCUUGAAAUAUUAAAGGCCGGUCCUUGAUAAACCUGUCCAGUGAGAUGGAGGGUUUUAGCUCCCAGGAGUCAGUGUUAGAGAUGGGAGAGAAUUCUCAGGAGUAUGCAGUGAUGUCCACUGCGACGUCCACAGAGUCAGUGGCCUUUGUUUCCCAAACCAGGAAUUGAAUUGGCUGAAAGGGAGAAGUGGGGAGUCAGCGUCAGCGUCACAAGAGGUAGGUAACAGGCCUUUCUCCACUCUGCCAGCCUCUGCUCUGCCCUCUGCUCUGAAGCCACUCUCUCUCCCCUUGUCCCACAGUGCAGCCCGGCUGUGGUUGUGAGCGGCAGGGCCCGCGGCAGCGGCUUGGGCAGCACAGUUCUCCAGGAGCCGCCCUGCCUCUGCUGGCUCCUGGGCUCCUGUGAGCAGCUCAGCUGUGCUUGACUAUUAAUCAGUCUAUCGCGGUAUUUAUAAUAGGUCUAUUUAGGCUGAUCAAAAAAUAUGGCAGAUGUUUAUAUUAAAAAUAUUUACAGGUGUGGUGGGA